AGCACAAGUGAUGAACAAUAAAGGGACUUAAUACUGAAACCUGAUGUGAUGUUAAUGAUAUCUGAUGUGC
rnacentral:snoRNA from 1 species